CCCUUAGAUGUUCUGGGCCGCACGCGCGCUACACUGAUGCAUUCAACGAGUUUCUUCCUGGUCCGAGAGGAAUGGGUAACCUUUUGAAAGUGCAUCGUGAUAGGGAUAGACUAUUGCAAUUAUUGGUCUUCAACGAGGAAUUCCUAGUAGACGUAGUUCAUCAGACUGCAUCGAUUACGUCCCUGCCCUUUGUACACACCGCCCGUCGCUCCUACCGAUUGAAUGCUCAGGUGAGCCAUUCGGACUUUCAUCCUGCUGGUUUCCAGUUUUGAUGAAGGAAAGUCUUGCGAACCUUAUCAUUUAGAGGAAGGAGAAGUCGUAACA
rnacentral:rRNA from 1 species